GACAUAACACUGGUUCAUCACUUGGGUUAGGUGCCUUUUUAUGUUUGAUUCAUAGGUCUGUAUGAAGUGGAUUAACAAACAAAAACAUACCUGUGAAAAUGGUCAGGUCCAAGGACUGGACUGAAAGUGAGUAAAAAAGCAGCCAAUGUCCAAAGAAAGACCUUCAGAAAACCUGGAAAUAUUAUUCAUCAGGACCACCUGAGCAAAAUAUGAAGAAAUGGGGGUGACUCAAGGCUUCUGCACAGUACUGUAUAUAUAGAUAUAUAAAAUAAUGUCCACUUUCCUGUAUCACGGGUAUUUCUCUUACCAAGCUUGAGGUCAGUCACAUCUUCAAAACAGAAGAAAAACGAUUUCAGUAUUAAAAUCACAGAUAGAAAUUUCCUGGCAGAAGUGAGCCAUGCACCUCUCACAAUGUAAACAAGAAAAUGUGUAUUUACAGUAAAUAAAAUGUGAGAUUAAAAAUAUGGAAAUGUGGUAUCGUGCAGAAUUUUCAUGAUGCAGUUAUUGACAGGAAUGAGGCUGCUCGCAGCAAAAAUGUCAAAGGUUUGAAUCCUCCCACAGGCUGAAUCAUGUCUCUAUUUCUGUGUAGGCGGUGAUUCUACAUUAUGUUAGACGUACUCCACCUUUACAGCCUUUUAUCAGGCUCCAGCCACCCUCACCACAAAUUUCCCUGAACCAGCACCUUGAACUGGACAAUAUGUAAAGAAAAUAAAUUUUGCUUUCAUUUCGCUCUCGGAGGAGCUGCACAUGGCGAGCAUUCAACAAACAUCUCUUACUAAAGAAAACAGGCUGUUUGUGAAGUUUCUUCGUCUCCAUCAAGAAUCCGAUGGUCACGAUCAGUUAAUGAAGCUUCUGUCUGAACAGGUCAGUUUCAUGUGGUUGGAUCUCGUCACCCUAUCACAGUUCCCCUGGGGGAUGAUGUCAUCCUGCCGUGUCACGUGGAGCCAAAGUUUAAUGUGGUCGGGCUGACGGUGGAGUGGUCGAGACCAGAGCGUCGUCCUGACCCCAACGAUCGGCUGAGCAGAGUGGAAUAUGUUCAUCUUUACAGAGACGCCCGUGAGGUCCCCGACAUGAAGAUCCCAUCAUACAUCGGGAGGACGGAGUUGUUCACAGACGGCCUGAGAGAAGGAAACAUCUCACUAAGAAUCACUAAUGUGACCCUUGAAGAUGAAGGAAGAUACAGAUGUUUCAUCCCAAAGUUAAAGAGUCAAACAAAGUCUUCAGUUGUUCGUCUGAUUGUUGCUAAAAUUGUGACAACAGAGGCACCACUGCAUCCUGAAACUCUCCAAACUCCUGAUCUGAUGGAAGAGUUUCACACUAAAGGUGGUUUGUCCCGUCGGAGGCGACUGAUCCCACUUGUGGUUUUCUGUGUGUUGGUUCUCCUCUGUGUUGCAGUCGGAGCGCGCUGGUUCACUGAGUCAAAGCCUCAAAAACAAGAAUUUUUAGGUGAUGUCAUCUCAGAGUUCAAUUUCCUUUAUAAGGAAGACCUCGAUCAUCGUGUGAACUUUAGAGUGAUCUUCACUUUAGCAGUGACAAUCAAAGUGCUUUUUUAGCACUAAUUUAUCUGUGCUGGAGUUCAGCUGUUAGUCACGCAGCUUACGUUGUCUCUUUAUUUAUGUGUCAGAGGUCAGAGAUAUGGUUGGGUAGAGUGGAAAUCAUAUGGGUCAUAGGCUGUUUAUUUCGAGGUCAGCAUGAUUUGGGAGUACAUUUACAUCAGCCAGUGCAGGAACAGCACAGCCUGCGUCCUGAGGAACCCCACCCACCCCCUUCACUGACCUCCUCCCCUCAGGCAGGAGGCUGCAGAGUAUCGGAGAUCAAACAACUCAACACCUCACUGACUGCACUUAUGGGCCCAGUUUCCUGUACAGGGAUUGUGUCUAAUCCUGGACUAAAUACUUUUUCCUACUUUGGUCUUCAUUGACUUUUUCUUUUAAACUAGGACCAUGCUUAAUCCAUGACUGGAAACUGGCUGAUUCUGUUCUGCCUUCCUGUGGUGCUAUGUUUAAACAUGCUGCUCUGAUUUUUAUUUCAUUUUUUCUAUUUAUUUUUUAAAUUAUUUUCUAAUUAUUUAUGACUUAUUCUUAAUGAUAGAUCGCUCUCAUGUACGUCACAGAUCCUGAAGAGAAAUUUGUUUUUCAUUUGGAAACAUUUAAUAAUAAUAAACUGACUCUGAACAAUAACCCUGAUAAUAUGAAAGCAUUUAUUUCUUUUUAAACUCUUUCCAAUACCAACUAAUUUAGACUGAGUUUAGAUGAAGAUAUCAAAGCAUUUUCUGCAUCACAGUCUGGAGUCCAUCACUCCAAGCACAGGCUCAGGAGCAUUAUUAAAAGCUAAACUGGAAGAAUAACGCACGUAACCAAGAACCUGAUGAAGUUCCACUGAUUUCACAGAUUAAAUCUUUCUAGUUGGACGAUACUGAGUCAGUUCAGGCAGAGUCUGAAAUCAAGCUCAGCAGAAACCCCCGCAGAUCUCAGUUUCAGCCCACAUCAGUUUUUUAGUCAGCUGAUGCAGUCUCAUGUCCAGUUCAUAAAUCUCUUAAAGGGCAUGUUAUUCAAGCUGCUUUCUCCUGCACACAGUGGUUGCUCGUCUGCAAGACACUUUGCAACCCACCUGCUCCUGUUUACACACAGUAGCUGAUCUGAUAUGAUACUGAAGUGCUGCAGAUGAAAAUAUCAGUCUUCUUCCUAUAGUGGCUUGUGUUUUGAGACCUAGUACAUGCUUAGUUGCCAUAAAAAAAUACAUCUGUACAUGUUAUCUCUCUGUAUAAACAACUAAAUCACCAAUGAUGAAAAGUGAAAGGACUUGUUGGAAAGUUCCUUUAUCUCCUGUUUUUCUGGUUCAUGUUUGUCAGUGAUGAAAAUAUUUUGAUCUCUCUGAACAUCCUGUGAGAAAAAAGUACCAAAGAAAUAUGUGUGUGUCAGUUUCUGGGAGACUGCUACUGAAAUGUGGGAAACAGUAGCAGUGAUCUCAAGUUAUGUUUAGACAUGCUUUUCAUAUUCUCGCUGAUACAUCAGCUAACCAGCUAGUUCUGUAACUUGAGUUUCUCCAUUAAGUUUCAUCAAAACUGGCCUGACAGGUUUUUUUUCUAUAAAUUUGCUGCACAGACAAUGAAGUAAAAGAAAAAA